UGGGGGAUAUUGCACAAUGGGCGAAAGCCUGAUGCAGCGACGCCGCGUGGGGGAUGAAGGCUUUCGGGUUGUAAACCUCUUUCGCUAUCGAACAAGGCCCGCUUAGGGUGGGUUGAGGGUAGGUGGAGAAGAAGCGCCGGCUAACUACGUGCCAGCAGCCGCGGUAAUACGUAGGGCGCGAGCGUUGUCCGGAGUUAUUGGGCGUAAAGGGCUUGUAGGCGGCUUGUUGCGCCUGCUGUGAAAACGCGGGGCUUAACUUCGCGCGUGCAGUGGGUACGGGCAGGCUUGAGUGUGGUAGGGGUGACUGGAAUUCCAGGUGUAGCGGUGGAAUUCGCAGAUAUCUGGAGGAACACCGAUGGCGAAGGCAGGUCACUGGGCCAUUACUGACGCUGAGGAGCGAAAGCAUGGGUAGCGAACAGG
rnacentral:rRNA from 1 species